rnacentral:tRNA from 1 species
GGCCUUAUACUCAUUACAUGAUUUUAAAUUGCAAAUUUAAAGGUGGGGUAUCCCUAAGGCUU